UGCUGGGUUGAUUAGUGGCGAACGGGUGAGUAACACGUGAGUAACCUGCCCCUGACUCUGGGAUAAGCGUUGGAAACGACGUCUAAUACUGGAUAUGAUCGCCGGCCGCAUGGUCUGGUGGUGGAAAGAUUUUUUGGUUGGGGAUGGACUCGCGGCCUAUCAGCUUGUUGGUGAGGUAAUGGCUCACCAAGGCGACGACGGGUAGCCGGCCUGAGAGGGUGACCGGCCACACUGGGACUGAGACACGGCCCAGACUCCUACGGGAGGCAGCAGUGGGGAAUAUUGCACAAUGGGCGAAAGCCUGAUGCAGCAACGCCGCGUGAGGGAUGACGGCCUUCGGGUUGUAAACCUCUUUUAGUAGGGAAGAAGCGAAAGUGACGGUACCUGCAGAAAAAGCACCGGCUAACUACGUGCCAGCAGCCGCGGUAAUACGUAGGGUGCAAGCGUUGUCCGGAAUUAUUGGGCGUAAAGAGCUCGUAGGCGGUUUGUCGCGUCUGCUGUGAAAUCCCGAGGCUCAACCUCGGGCUUGCAGUGGGUACGGGCAGACUAGAGUGCGGUAGGGGAGAUUGGAAUUCCUGGUGUAGCGGUGGAAUGCGCAGAUAUCAGGAGGAACACCGAUGGCGAAGGCAGAUCUCUGGGCCGUAACUGACGCUGAGGAGCGAAAGCAUGGGGAGCGAACAGGAUUAGAUACCCUGGUAGUCCAUGCCGUNNCGUUGGGCGCUAGAUGUAGGGACCUUUCCACGGUUUCUGUGUCGUAGCUAACGCAUUAAGCGCCCCGCCUGGGGGAGUACGGCCG
rnacentral:rRNA from 1 species